AAAUCUCAGUUGACGACGAAGAGGGCUCGCGGCGGCAUUUCGUCGAACGUGUGCAGUGCGCGGAGGUAAGCGGUAAGCCGGUAUCAGCUCUAUUUGACACACAUUUAUUUAGUGUAGUUUAAAAUAGAAGAUAAGAUAAGAGAUCUAUUGAAGACAUGUAUAACUCUAAGAUGUUAGUUCGAUUUUUCAAGUAUAAGAGGCAAUUAAGAGUAUGUUCAAGAGUAAAGUAUUUUUACUAUUUCUAUACAAUAUUAUGGUUUUGAUCAAUACCGUAAUAUUUUAUGUCAUUAGGUCUUUGGUUGUAUUACUGAAAACUAUGUGUUUCAAAAACCAUAGUAUUCUAGAUAUUAUGGUACUUUUGGAGUAUUUAAAACUCCACUCUAACCUAAAGUUUUCAUAACAUGGCUAGCUUUUGUCUAAUACCAUGGUUUACAAUGUUGUAUAAAACAAUGUUUCUCAAAACCAUGGUACUUUUGGAACUGCUAAAACUACAUUAUUGUCAAAACAAUUGUAUAAUAUAGUAUUAUAAAACCAUAGUUUUGAGAAACAUUGUUGUCAAGCAGACCCUAAGAGACUUUGUGAUACAAUCAAGAGCCCAUAUACCAUAAAUGCAAUUAAAAGACAAUAUGCAUGGAGAGUCAUACAUAGACGGGCUCUUCGUGAAGAGUUUGUCUCUUUUUUCAUUUAACCCCUAGAAACUCCUCAAAAGACUCAGAUUAAAUGAGGUUGUACAUGCUCUAACAGUAGAAGCGAAAAUGUGGAAUAGUCAUCCUCGCAGCUCGCAAGGUGCUGCAAUGCUGCUGGGGAAAUAAAUUUAGGUCUUGUACAUAUCUUAACACUUGGCCUAUCCACCCAAUUAUCGACCUUACUACCUGUUGAGCACCAAAAUUGUUCUGGUGGACGGUCCGGCCCUGAGGCCGGACGGUCCAUGGUACGGACUGUUCGCCGUAGCGGUGUGAACCGUCCGCGUGUGCGCAUAAUCAAUUAGGAUUCCAGUUUUCUUGCGGGAUUUGUUAGCUAAACCUGUGAAAUUAACUCGAGAACUGACUUCUAACGGGUCCAGACCUUCACCUUUAUAUAGAUGAAGGGCUACAGCUGAUUGAACCCUCACAAUCGAUCCAAUCAACUCUACUUAUCGUUUUUACCUUAAGCAUUAGGAGUAUCCCUAGUUUAGACGUCCUCCACCUCGAAUCUUCAACUCUCUUCGUCUCUACGUCGACUAGAGGCGUCUUCGGUGGCCUGCCGAGCUAAGACACACCCAAGGAUCUCUCUCCCCGACGGAUUCCCUCCCGGGAGGUGAUAUCUAGGUCUGCUGCGAGAAAGAUCACCCUCUGCGCCAUCGUGGAUCAUCCAAGCCCUAGGCGCGGACCAUUCAGACAUACGCAGAGAAGAAGUCGCUCCUGCGCCCAGGUCACGGACCGUCCGACCCUGUGACACGGACCGUUCGCGCCUCCGUAUAGAGCACCGCCAGGUGGUUCGUUCUAGUGUUUGGCGCCCAAAUCGGCGUCAACACACUUUUUGGCGACUCCGCUGGGAUCAGGUGUCUAGAUUUGCUAAAAAUCAGGCCCUCCAAUGGAUGGUUAUAAAGAUCACACUGAUAUCUCCCCGGACAAUAUUCUGAAGUCGGCUGUUGAAAGUCUGACAGUCGAUGAGCAACAACAAUAUGAAGACUACAUACGUUAAGCGAAGGAGAAAUUCUUGUCACAAUACACGGUGGAUCGCCACCAGAAGGUGAUCAAACAUGGAGAGACCGAUGUCACAUCUCUUCUAUCAAACAGUAUGUAGAUCAGCAGCAGAAUCAAAUGAAACAACAGAUUGGAGGCUAGAAGAAUCAAUUAGAAAAUUAACAGUAGAAGUAUGUUGUUCCUAGAUUUCCAUCAUAUCAAACUAGUAAUACGAUAUCUAUGUCUAAUACAUAGGCAACAAAUGGGGAUUCGCAGCCCUAGCCAUUAUAUGGUAUUGAAAGUGCGUUCAUCCCUUCUAUGUGUUUUGGUGAUUUGGAUAACAACACAUUUAAAUAUCUAACAUUUUUGAUAAGUGUUGAACAGAAAAUUCAUUAUGAUGAACAUACUUGAAUAGUGUAUAAUGAUCAGUAAACAAAGGUUCUAAAAGUCGUUUAGAGGGAGGGUGAAUAGACAAAACCUGAAUUUUAUAAACUUUGAACACGCAUUAUGCCCGGGGUUAGUAUUAGAAAUAAUUCGGAGUGCGGAAGAUAGUUCUCCUUGCUAAGGGUUGCUCAAUCGAUGCAUUCGCGAAGGGGUAUCGUUGAUCAUUGUCCGUCCGAUCAACGCACAACGCGCCAAAUUAAAUCUAGACGACCACGAAUACGUGACCGACUUCGACUAUCCGAUCUAGAUCCAACAGCUGAUGGUCGCUACUGCACCGAGCCGUUCAUCACCGAGUCAAUGACCCGGAUCAAACCUCACGAAACGGUAUGUCGCGGUCUAAUCUGCACCGUUGAUCUGCCGAUGAAUGAUACCUGCUCACCCCUCUCGUUCGCGGUCGCUCGAGUGGCGGGGCAUGUGACGACGCGGCGGAACUUUGCCAGAGAAUUCCAAUUCACCAAUCCAGCGGAUAAUUUGCGCCUGCAACUACGCAAAAACCAAAUUUGCCACUACCUUAACCGAUUGGGGUGGGUGUUAACCCAGAUUACGGUCGCAGUGGCUCGGACAACCACGUUCCGUGACCAUGGUGUAGCGGCGGCGGUGUCUGGCCGCAAGGUCCACCGGAAUCCUAAGCUUAACCCGACAAUGAACUAGGGAGCGCGAUGGAAGACUCGAGCGCGGAGGAAUUGCUCACCGGUUAACAACGAUGCACGGAGUCCGGUACUCGACGUUGGACGGCGCCGGGGCGGAUCGCUUGCUUCGACUAGAAAUUGUCGACGGUGGGGUGGUCGAUUUCCCCCCGCCGCGCACACGAGCGUGAGCCGGUGAUGCGACAAAGCCUCCUGGCCCGCUCUUCAGGCUUCUACGGCGGUGAACUCGUGGUCCGACAGUGGCGAUCGAUGCAGGCCUGGUGUCAAUCUAUCUCUGGUGGUGCCUGGCGAGGGGUUGAAGAGAAAGGGGAGGAGAGGAAGGGGUAAGGUAUGGCGGGCGCUAGGUCUUAUACCCUGGGAUGGAUCGGACUUGCACCAGGCACGCGGUGAUCGUGACCGCAAGCUCCGCCGAGGUCCCCGUGAGGCAGUUGGGGACGAAACUGACGGGGAGGGCCCACCCAGCAGCGAGAACUUGAGUCACGCGGUAAACGGUGACAGGUGGGGUCACGGAAUCGGUGAGCGCUCUACGACAGACGCGUGAUCGAUCGAUUGGCUAGUGGGGCCCUUCCGUCAGUGUCGCAGGGGCGCGCGCGUAACUGACAGAGGCGGUCCACAUGUCGGCGCUAUCCAUCCGUUGGGCUGAGGCGAUGUGGGCCGAAAGGGGAGGUCUGGCCCAGGUAAGUUUUCUUCCCUCUUUUCUUUUUAUUCUUCUUUCUUUUAUUUUCCAAUUUUUUAUUUCAAAAUUGAAUUUUGAAUUUCAUUGUGAGUUUCAUAUUUAGGCUAAUUGCACAACUUCAAAUUCUAGUGUAAGAAGAAUAUUUAUUUAUUUAUAUAUUUAUUUUAUGUAUAUGGUAUUUUUCCAUCUCUUUCUCCUUUUCUCUGUUAUUUCAAAUUUCUAUUUAUUCAAAUUAGGUAUUAAAUCCCCAAUUUUGGAUAUCGAUUUAUUUAUAUCGCUAUGAUUACUAUUAUUAUUAAAUGCACAAUCAAAUACUCCAACAUGAUGCACAAGUUAUUCAGGUGUCAUUUGUUAAAUAUUCACUUUUAAAUGUGGGUGUUUACAUGUGCUAUUAAAUAUAAGUCACAUAAAUACAGAGAUCAACUCUAUUCUCAUUACUUACAAUUUGGGUAUUACACUAAUCUAUGAUGUAGAUACAAUUUAUUGCCUGCACUGCACCAACCACUGAUGCGACAUCUCGGUCUCCUACCACAUAGAGAUGAAAAGGAGGAAAAAGUAUUUUAGACGUCGGCGCUCGUACUCCUGACUCGAUGACGACGAUCAUUGUUGACUUGUUGUCCUUCACCUUGUUUCGAAGGUAUGAAGCACUAUUGCUUUCAUCGUAUCUCUCUCACCGUAGCAGUAAUAUAUGUAAAUAAGACACAUCUCUUACUAAGAAUAUGGACGGAGAGCUCAAUGAGAUGCUAGGGUUUCAAUAACUAAGGCUAUAUUCAGCGGAUCGUGCAUAUACUCGUGCAAAAACAUUGUUUUGCAUGAUAGACUAUACCGUUUACAAAGUGUAGUUUAA
rnacentral:lncRNA from 1 species